rnacentral:tRNA from 1 species
GGCGAGGUGGCCGAGUGGUUUAGGCGAUACACUGCUAAUCUAUUGGACUGUGCACACGUGGGUUCGAGUCCCACCCUCGUCA